AAUUUUAAGUUAUAGUUGUUUUGUAAAUAUUGUUUCUUUUGUUUAGUGUUUAAGAUUAUAUAAUU
rnacentral:sRNA from 1 species